ACUCCUACGGGAGGCAGCAGUGAGGAAUAUUGGUCAAUGGCCGAGAGGCUGAACCAGCCAAGUCGCGUGAAGGAAGAAGGAUUAUGGUUUGUAAACUUCUUUUAUAGGGGAAUAAGUGGAGGACGUGUCCUUUUUUGUAUGUACCCUAUGAAUAAGCAUCGGCUAACUCCGUGCCAGCAGCCGCGGUAAUACGGAGGAUGCGAGCGUUAUCCGGAUUUAUUGGGUUUAAAGGGUGCGUAGGUGGUGAUUUAAGUCAGCGGUGAAAGUUUGUGGCUCAACCAUAAAAUUGCCGUUGAAACUGGGUUACUUGAGUGUGUUUGAGGUAGGCGGAAUGCGUGGUGUA
rnacentral:rRNA from 1 species